AAUGUGUUUUUAGUGACUCCAUACUAUUUACUUACAACUUCUGAAUUCUCACAUAUUUUUAGGACGGCUUCGCGGACCACUUGGAAUGCCUCCAGGGAC